rnacentral:rRNA from 1 species
UACGGGGGGGGCAAGCGUUGUUCGGAAUUACUGGGCGUAAAGGGCUCGUAGGUGGCCAACUAAGUCAGACGUGAAAUCCCUCGGCUUAACCGGGGAACUGCGUCUGAUACUGGAAGGCUCGAGUUCGGGAGAGGAAUGUGGAAUUCCAGGUGUAGCGGUGAAAUGCGUAGAUAUCUGGAGGAACGCCGGUGGCGAAAGGCGGACUGUCGUGGGCGCUAGUGACGCUGAGGC